CAUCUUGGGAAACAGAACCAAGCUGAGGCUGCCAGAGUGAGCUCAAUCAGGCUCUGAAUGUAUAAGCCAUAUAUUGCAGAACUCAAAGGGGUUACCCACCCUGCAGGUGAAAGGACAUGGAACCAUGCCAUAGGAGACUUUCCAAAAGCCCCUGGAAAUAAUAAAGCCAAGAGGAGGGAAUGAAGAACAGAGAUGCAGCUAUGUGCGCUACAGCAAUCACCCAAUCUGGGCUAUAUUACCUCAAGACAGCAAAUGCAGUCCCAACACAUGACCUGUAUUGCAGGAAGCCAUCAGUUCUCUUGUUCUCUGGGAUUUGCAGAGCAAGCUAUGCCCAAACAAAGCAUCAGUGCAUCCUUCAAGCAAGGUUAUCCCAGGAAGCCUUUGGUCCCAAGCUUCCUGUUUUGCCAUGCCUGCGGGAGGCUGCGUGCUGGCUGGAAUGGUGGGUUCUCCUUCCACUGACCAUGACUUUGAGGCAGACCGAUCAAACUUCCCAUCUGCAAAAAAGCAAAGAUGAACACUUACCUCUCUACCAGGGUUUGCAAAGCGCAAUGCAAGGUGACUUGCAGAGGAAGAAAGCUGGCUGUAGACCCCAGCUUGAAAACCUAUGAAUUAAAUCGCUGCUAAUAAAUGUUCCAAUGCUCUGAGUAAGACCAUUCAUCAUUUUCACUUCCUUAGUAUGGCCAAACAGGCACUAGAAACUGCAAAAUAGAGACAGGCUCCACAGUCCCAGGUGCAAGGACAGAGCUGCAGGAAAAGACAGUAAACUUUUUGGGGCAGGUACUACUUCAUAUACAUGAGACAAAAGAGGAACAGAAGCCCGGACAGCAGAAGUGACUCACGCAUGGUCCCUGAGUUGGUCAGUGCCAAAACUAGGAAGAGAAGCCAGAUGCCAGCUCCUUCAGCUGGACUAGCCCGUCUCCUGGGGCACCUUCCAAAAUGGAGGGGACUGGGAUUUCUAGGCAAGUAGAGGAGAGAAUUGCAAUUUGCUGGGGGAGGAGAAUGCAUGGCCUCUUGGGCAGGCCACAUGCACACUGCAUAAAGAAGCGAGAAGCAGAGCAAAAACCCCAUUUCCCUUUUUUCUUUAUUAACAUUAAAAUGACCAAUAAGGAUACAGAGAAUUAUGGAGCAGAG